GGCCGUGUAGCUCAAUGGCAGAGCGUCUGACUACGAUUAACUACAAGUUAAGUUUCCUGUAAUCAGAAGGUCGCAGGUUCGACCCCUGUCUCGGUCA
rfam:Metarhizium acridum CQMa 102 unplaced genomic scaffold Scf_050, whole genome shotgun sequence.